rnacentral:rRNA from 1 species
GACGAACGCUGGCGGCGUGCUUAACACAUGCAAGUCGAACGGAAAGACCCUGCUUUUGUGGGGUGCUCGAGUGGCGAACGGGUGAGUAACACGUGAGUAACCUGCCCUUGACUUUGGGAUAACUUCAGGAAACUGGGGCUAAUACCGGAUAGGAGCUCCUGCUGCAUGGUGGGGGUUGGAAAGUUUCGGCGGUUGGGGAUGGACUCGCGGCUUAUCAGCUUGUUGGUGGGGUAGUGGCUUACCAAGGCUUUGACGGGUAGCCGGCCUGAGAGGGUGACCGGUCACAUUGGGGCUGAGAUACGGCCCAGACUCCUACGGGAGGCAGCAGUGGGGAAUAUUGCACAAUGGGCGGAAGCCUGAUGCAGCAACGCCGCGUGCGGGAUGACGGCCUUCGGGUUGUAAACCGCUUUCGCCUGUGACGAAGCGUGAGUGACGGUAAUGGGUAAAGAAGCACCGGCUAACUACGUG